ACCACCCACCACAAUGGCCAGAUUCUCAGCCAGGGCUCGAUUCCUACUGUGCUCUUUAUUUUUGCAAGCUGCUGCUGCUGAAGGCGCAGAUGAAUGUACGAAGGGAAAUGAUGAGCUUUGACUCCUAGUGCCUGGACAGCUGACAUUCAGCAAUCUACCUUAUUUUUCUUAAACUUGGCAAAGAUGCCCAGGUCUGUCAGUCAUCAGCUCCUGGAUGGCAGCCAGAGGGUCAACUCCUCCUGGCAAAGUGGAGGAGCAGGUGACAGGUACUACAAGGAAAGGUAAGAAAUCAGCUAGUUAUGAGGAUUUGUCAGAACCCGUGGACAGCCACCGGGAUCUGUCCCUGCUGCAAGUCACAUACGUAUAACGGGAUACAUUAAAACUCUGACACCCUGCUGCCACUCCAAGACAACUUUGAGAAAGUUUCUCUCUCUUUAACUUGUAAAAUGUGUUUAUGCAUCCCACAUACAGAGAGCCAGGCACUGCGCCAGGAGCCGAGAAGAGAUAAUCACCAAGUCCCACUUUGGAGGAGCACCCAAAAUGAUGUCAUCGGUGCCUCAGUAAAGGUCACCACAGGAUGCCAUGGAAACCCCUAGGAGGAGCCCCCAAUCUAGAUGAGAGGGCCAAGGAUAGGGAGGGAGAGGAGGAGAUGAGUCUCCCUCAUCUUCAGGGAGAGGAGGAGAUGCUACUGGAAGGAAGGAGCCAGGCAGGUGCAAUAAAGAAGGCAUGUUUUUGUUGUGGUCUGCGGCUGUGACAUCAUUUCCCGUGCUCUGACUGGUAUUAGUUGUGGCUGAACCAACUCACUCCCGGGUCAGGAGAGAGAGAAGUUGAGUGGAAUAAGCUGUGUGCCAGAGACCAGGCCACUCCACCUGGCUCUGCUGCUCGCCCCACCAGGACUUGAGAUGCCUAAUCUCUCAGAUGUAUCUUGCAAGAAGUUGCUGUGGCCAAGUUCAAAAGGUUGCCUGUGUUCUCCUCUAG